rnacentral:snoRNA from 1 species
AUUUCGUCUGUUCUAAUACCAAGGGUCAUGACGUUGACCCUUUGGCUUCGCUUUCAGACAAAAUUAAUUCUUUAAAUUUAUCCUGGUGUUGUUUUCCUGUUUGUGAAUAUUACACCGGCCUUUUAAAGAUACAAAU